UUGCUAUGGCACACACAAAAUUUGUACACAGCCACCAAAUUUCUAAUGGUACAAAUACUGCAGCAUAGAAUAAAAAUCGUCUUUGCAAAAAAAAAAAAAAACACCUAAAAUUAUUGUAUCCUUUUCAACUUCCUUCUAACUUAAUACACUAUUUUCCCCCCUCCAUUUAGCCAUUCGACUCAUUUACUCAUUUCCUCAGUUACAUAGAACUGGAAGACAGCAAAAUCACCUAAAUCACUGCCCUGGAUGUAUACAACGUGGACAGCAGAUUUAUCCUGAAACUUCUGACCAAUUAACCAUUUAAAUUUCUCAACCUUGCAACCAGUUCAUCCU
rnacentral:misc_RNA from 1 species